rnacentral:sRNA from 1 species
ACCAUUCUUCGGUCAAGGGUAUACGAGUAGCUGCGCUCCCCUGCUAGAACCUCCAAACAAGCUCUCAAGGUCCAAGUGUUCAAGUCCAGCCUGGGCAAUAAGGC